AAUAUUGGGCCGUCUCUGGCAACAACUCACCUGCAGCAUAAUGGUGGUUUGGAAACUGCUCAGGUAACUUCUUAAAGUUGUUUGUUGUUGUUGUUGUUGAAGCUUGUGUCACUGCAGCUAGAGAAGGCAAUGCUGCAGAGAUGAAUCGACUUCAGUCUGAGCUGAAAACUGUAGUAGAUGACAUACAAUCCAUGGAGGGGAAGCAACAACUCCUUGAACAAGAAAAUGCUGC
rnacentral:lncRNA from 1 species